rnacentral:rRNA from 1 species
CGGCAGUGGCUUGUGGAAGCGCUGUCGCUCAACGGAUAAAAGGUACCCCGGGGAUAACAGGCUGAUCUUCCCCAAGAGUCCAUAUCGACGGGAUGGUUUGGCACCUCGAUGUCGGCUCGUCGCAUCCUGGGGCUGGAGUCGGUCCCAAGGGUUGGGCUGUUCGCCCAUUAAAGCGGUACGCGAGCUGGGUUUAGAACGUCGUGAGACAGUUCGGUCCCUAUCCGCUGUGCGCGUAGGAAUAUUGAGAAGGGCUGUCCCUAGUACGAGAGGACCGGGACGGACGAACCUCUGGUGUGCCAGUUGUCCUGCCAAGGGCAUGGCUGGUUGGCUACGUUCGGAAAGGAUAACCGCUGAAAGCAUCUAAGCGGGAAGCCUGCUUCGAGAUGAGUAUUCCCACCCCCUUUGAGGGGUUAAGGCUCCCAGUAGACGACUGGGUUGAUAGGCCAGAUGUGGAAGCCCGGUAACGGGUGGAGCUGACUGGUACUAAUAGGCCGAGGGCUUGUCCUCAGUUG